rnacentral:rRNA from 1 species
UGGGGAAUAUUGCGCAAUGGGCGAAAGCCUGACGCAGCAACGCCGCGUGGGUGAUGAAGGCCUUCGGGUCGUAAAGCCCUGUCAGGUGGGAAGAACCCGGCUUUCGGGCCGCUGACGGUACCACCGAAGGAAGCACCGGCUAACUCCGUGCCAGCAGCCGCGGUAAUACGGAGGGUGCAAGCGUUGUUCGGAAUUACUGGGCGUAAAGGGCGCGUAGGCGGCCGGGCAAGUCCGGUGUGAAAGCCCGGGGCUCAACCCCGGAAGUGCAUUGGAUACUGCCUGGCUUGAGUUCGGAAGAGGAGGGCAGAAUUCCCGGUGUAGGGGUGAAAUCCGUAGAUAUCGGGAGGAAAACCAGUGGCGAAGGCGGCCCUCUGGGACGAAACUGACGCUGAGGCGCGAAAGCGUGGGGAGCAAACAGG